rnacentral:lncRNA from 1 species
CGAUCUCGUCUGCGACUCUUGCACGGCGGCGAGAGUGGUGUGGUCAGAGGCGACGGGGCCGGAGAUCUCCACCACGGACGCGGCUGCGACGGUCUGCAGUACGGCCACCUCGACCUCGUUGGCAUGAUGACGAGCUCAGGUACGUCCCGGGGCUCGGUGUCGUCUUCUUGGGUUGAAGGUCGUGAACCAGGAAGGAUGCAGCCGCCAGUACCAUAUAGGGAGGGGCCUCUCGAUUACGAGCCGCCAGUGUUUUGUGACUGCAAAGUGAAGGCGGCUAGGUGGAUUUCGUGGAGUGUGGGUAACCCCGAGAGAAGAUAUUUCACAUGCUACAAUGCGCAUCCAUAUUGGAAGCAAUUGCUGCUUAAUUUGAGGAAUGUUGUGUGGACUGCAAGAGAAGAAAUCAAUGGGCUAAAGGCUCAUCUCCAGGACAACAGGAAUGAAGCCUUGAAGAACAGGGCAGUGAGCCGUAGCAAAGAAAGCAAUGAGCUUGAAUCAUUGAGAGCAGCUCUUGAGCAGAUAGAAGCUACAAACUGUGUUUUAGUUGAUAGGAUUACUCAACAACAGAAAUGUAUGAACAUGUUGAUGUAUGCUUUAGCAUUUGCUGUUGUUGUUUUGUUGGUGGAGCAUCUGGCUGAACAGGUGUGGAGCUGGGCUGAGAACCUGUAG